rnacentral:misc_RNA from 1 species
CCCAUAAACCGUGGCUCAGUUCAGAUCGUAGGCUGCAACUCGCCUACGUGAAGGCGGAAUCGCUAGUAAUCGCAGGUCAGCAUACUGCGGUGAAUACGUUCCCGGGCCUUGUACACACCGCCCGUCACACCAUGGAAGUUGGCCACGCCCGAAGCCGUUACUCCAACCCUUGUGGAGGAGGACGUCGAAGGUGGGGCUGAUGACUGGGGUGAAGUCGUAACAAGGUAGCCGUACCGGAAGGUGCGGAUGGAUCACCUCCUAACAGGGAGAACCAACCUCAAAUGAUGAUCACCACUUUUUAGUGAUCCAUUUGACUGUUCAUUCCUAUGGUCGAUCGGUACCUCAGUGAGUGUUAAUCACUCAUUCGGUUCUUAAGCUUGUCUAGGUCACCACCCCUUAGCGAUUAAGCUUUGUGGGAUGGGCCCGAGAGGGUUCCUGGGCCAUUAGCUCAGGUGGUUAGAGCGCACCCCUGAUAAGGGUGAGGUCCCUGGUUCAAGUCCAGGAUGGCCCAUCGGGAUUGGGGGUUUAGCUCAGCUGGUAGAGCGCCUGCUUUGCAAGCAGGAUGUCAGGAGUUCGAGUCUCCUAACCUCCACUGACCGAACUUGAUUCCCAUCUCCAAUUUUUUGGAGUUGAGCUCGAUUGGAGUGUGAUUUAGAUGUGUCCGCUGGAUGACCCCAGCUUCCUGUCAUUCCAAGUUUUAGGUUAAAGCCUUGAAUUUGGUUGAUAAGAUGCUGGGCUCGGAUCAAAUGA